rnacentral:rRNA from 1 species
GUACUGUGGCUGCCCAAGUCCUUAUGUUAAACCCACCGAUAUAAUCGUUGGAGUGCGGCGGAACUGCUCGGCUAGGGGAACGAGAUAGCACGACGGUAUUCCCGGGUAGGGGUGAAAUCCUAUAAUCCUGAGAAGACCAACCAGUGGGCAAAGGCUGUCUGCUAGAACAGCGAACCGACCGGUGAGGUGAUGAAAGCUGGGGGAGCGAACCGGAGAUAACCGGGUAGUCCUCAGCUGUAAACGAUGCAAAUUAGGUGUUUGGACGGCCACGUUCCGUUCUAGUGCCGCA